GGACUGGGGCGGGGCGCCACGGUCAAUUUGGACGCCUCGACUGUGGCACGAACGAAGGAUGCGCCACUCCGGCGGGCGUGCGUCUGUGAGACUGUGACCAGUGCGCGGGGCCACCGCUCAGCUAGCCCGAAUUCCCUUCCACCUGCCGAGCCACGCGCCGGUGGUGCGGCCUCGCGCGCGGAUGCGCGUGUGAAGGGAAUCCGGGGCAGAGCGCCCCUGCGCAGCUGCUGCCCCGGCCCCGGCCGAACGGAUGCCCGCCCCCGUGGGCUUUCGCGUGGGUGCCGGCAUAAAGCUUUACUAGCAGCUUCUGAUCUGUUCUUCGGCCGGGACAGCGACGGCAGUGACGGAAUCCUAUGGCAAUGCAUGCUCCAGAUGGUGACCUACAGUGUGAUAGUAUUUGGCCCUAACAACGCCACCGCCCUUCUCCUUCUCCGUGCGUGCUGCUUUGGGCCGACGAACACGAGCAUCUUCGUGGAGAAGACGGAGAAGAAGGCGCAUGGAACCUGGUGCUCAUUUGCGAUGGGCGGUAACCAGUCGCGAGCGAAGUCGACGAUGACCCAAUUGGGCUUCUUGCUGAAAGGAUUUGGCCCUCUACCUCCACCACCCUCCCAAUCUCUAGCAGUGUCAAUGGCGGCGCAGGCGUUGGUGAGGACUGAGGAGAAGAGGAUGAGGAGAUAGAGAAGAGAGG
rnacentral:lncRNA from 1 species